CCCUUAGAUGUCCUGGGCCGCACGCGCGCUACACUGAUGCAUGCAACGAGGUUAUAACCUUGGCCUGAAAGGUCUGGGUAAUCUUUUGAACGUGCAUCGUGAUAGGGAUAGAUUAUUGCAAUUGUUAAUCUUGAACGAGGAAUUCCUAGUAAACGCGAGUCAUCAGCUCGCAUUGAUUACGUCCCUGCCCUUUGUACACACCGCCCGUCGCACCUACCGAUUGAAUGGUUCGGUGAAGAUCUCGGACUUCGAUAUUUAUUCUUUAUUGAGUUUAUAUUGUGGGAAGUUAUCUAAACCUCAUCAUUUAGAGGAAGGUGAAGUCGUAACA
rnacentral:rRNA from 1 species